CAAAAUAAAAGAAAAAGCGAUUGUCUUGAUAUUCUUUGUGAACAACAUUUUUAAAAGUAAAAAAAAGUAUUUUUUGUGAGGCUGAUCUGCAACGAACAAAAGCACAUUUUUAUAGCCAAUACCGGAUUUCAGGAAUAAUUGGAUGUGUUGAUGGCACGCAUAUUAAAAUUGUCGCUCCCAGAAAAGAAGUUCAACAUUUGUACUACAACAGGAAGGGAUUCUACAACAUUAAUGCUAUAAUUGUUUGUGAUUAUACAAUGCAAAUAACGUAUAGGAAUGUGAAAAAUUCAGGAGCUACACAUGAUUCUAUGGAUUUCAAUAUGUCCCCAUUGAAAGCGCAUUUAGAGGAGCAACAUCUCAAUGGCCGUCGCAAUACUUGGCUCCUCGGUGACGUUGGGUACGCUCUAAAACCAUAUUUACUGACGUAGUUCAGAUAAUCUGAGGAAGGGUCUCCACAAAGGGCAUACAACAAACAACAUGCUAAAGCGAGAAGUAUCAUUGAGAGAACAAUUGGAGUCUUGAAAAACCGAUUUAGAUGUUUGGUGCAGGCAAGAGCUCUCCACUAUUCUCCGAAACAAGCAACACAAAUUAUUAAUGUGUGCAGCUUUGCACAACAUUUGUCUGCUUUACAAUGUUCAACUUCCAGAUGAAGAGUUAUCCAAUGAGACUCUCAACGAUGAUGCUGGAGAUAUUAAAGUGGAGUCAAAUAACGGAGAAACAGAAAACAUAAGAAAUGAAAUUCUUAGAAUAUUAUGAGAAAAACUAAAAAGUAUUGAAUAACAACCUUUACGCCAUAGUUUAUUUUUAUUUUUGUUAUAAAUUUCCUUUAUUCAAAUA